rnacentral:sRNA from 1 species
GAGUCAGUAGAAAAUGGGAGCCUCUGUAGGCUCCUGGUCCUGCACCAUGAUAAAUAGCCUGUCCUGCAGCCUGGCUUAAAACAGGGAAAGCUGGAGUUAGGCAACAGAGUGCCUAGCUUUCUCAGUCAUUCAAACACAAGCACGGAAGAAGAGAUUGCACUGACCAGAGGACCGCCAGGGUGUGACGCUCCGUAGUCGCAGGGAUGAAGGAAAGCCAUGGGCAGAGCUUGUCAUGGACAGCUCCUAGGUGGACAUAAAUAGAAACUCAUUGGUUCUGGGGCACGGCGGGAAGAGGGAGAUGGCCCUGGACGGCCGCACCAAGAAUUUCACAACCCAAACCCGACUAGAAAGCCUGGGUUAUGGCCACACCGUGCCCUUGUCAGAUGGGGGUAAGGCCUUCUGCAUCAUCUACUCCGUCAUUGGCAUUCCCUUCACCCUCCUGUUCCUGACGGCUGUGGUCCAGCGCAUCACCGUGCACGUCACCCGCAGGCCGGUCCUCUACUUCCACAUCCGCUGGGGCUUCUCCAAGCAGGUGGUGGCCAUCGUCCACGCUGUGCUCCUUGGGUUUGUCACUGUGUCCUGCUUCUUCUUCAUCCCGGCCGCUGUCUUCUCAGUCCUGGAGGAUGACUGGAACUUCCUGGAAUCCUUUUAUUUUUGUUUUAUUUCCCUGAGCACCAUUGGCCUGGGGGAUUAUGUGCCUGGGGAAGGCUACAAUCAAAAAUUCAGAGAGCUCUAUAAGAUUGGGAUCACGUGUUACCUGCUACUUGGCCUUAUUGCCAUGUUGGUUGUUCUGGAAACCUUCUGUGAACUCCAUGAGCUGAAAAAAUUCAGAAAAAUGUUCUAUGUGAAGAAGGACAAGGACGAGGAUCAAGUGCACAUCAUAGAGCAUGACCAGCUGUCCUUCUCCUCGAUCACAGACCAGGCAGCUGGCAUGAAAGAGGACCAGAAGCAAAAUGAGCCCUUUGUGGCCACCCAGUCAUCUGCCUGCGUGGAUGGCCCUGCAAACCAUUGAGCGUAGGAUUUGUUGCAUUAUCCUAGAGCACCAGGGUCAGGGUGCAAGGAAGAGGCUUAAGUAUGUUCAUUUUUAUCAGAAUGCAAAAGCGAAAAUUAUGUCACUUUAAGAAAUAGCUACUGUUUGCAAUGUCUUAUUAAAAAACAACAAAAAAAGACAAAUGGAACAA